rnacentral:lncRNA from 1 species
CUUACACAAACCUAAAUGGUAUAGCCUACUACACACCUAGGCCAUUUGGUAUUAAUCUUUUUUUUUUCUUUUAAAGAUUUUAUUUUUCCUUUUUCUCCCCAAAUCCCCACAGUACAUAGUUGUGUAUUUUUAGUUGUGGGUCCUUCUAGUUGUGGCAUGUGGGAUGCCGCCUCAGCAUGGCUCGAUGAGCGGUGCCAUGUCCAUGUCCAGGAUUCGAACUGGUGAAACCCUGGGCUGCCAAAGCGGAGCGCGUGAACUCAACCACUUGGCCACAGAGCUGGCCCCUAUUUAGUAUUAAUCUUAUGGGACCACGCUCAUAUAUGCGGUCCGUUGACAGAAAUGUCGUUAUUUGGCACAUGGCCAUACUACUGCUAUUGCUAAUAAAAGUGAUAUAUCCAUACAAUAGAAUGCUUCUCAGCAACAAAAAAGAACGAACUCCUUCUGUACACGAUAACAUGGAUGAAGAUCAAAAAUACUAUGCUGAGUGGAAGAAGCCAGAACAAAAGACUACAUACUGUAUGAAUCCAUCAUAUGAAGUUCUAGACCAGUCGUGAGACCUGAAAAUUCUGCAGCCAUCUUGCUUCCAGCCUGAGAUGAAGAACAUAGAAAACAAGGGCAGAAAUCACUAGAGUAAUUGCAGAGAAAUGGAGCUGGAACCGCCGGAUUAAGUCCGCUGACGCCUGUCCACAUCUUGACAUUCAGUUAUGCGCA